rnacentral:rRNA from 1 species
AGUGAACGCUGGCGGCAGGCCUAACACAUGCAAGUCGAGCGGCAGCGCGUCCGACCACCCUCGGGUGGUCGGAUGGCGGCGAGCGGCGGACGGGUGAGGAAUGCAUCGGAAUCUGCCUCGUUGUGGGGGGAUAACGUAGGGAAACUUACGCUAAUACCGCAUACGACCUACGGGUGAAAGUGGGGGACCUUCGGGCCUCACGCGAUGAGAUGAGCCGAUGCCGGAUUAGCUAGUUGGCGGGGUAAAGGCCCACCAAGGCGACGAUCCGUAGCUGGUCUGAGAGGAUGAUCAGCCACACUGGAACUGAGACACGGCCCAGACUCCUACGGGAGGCAGCAGUGAGGAAUAUUGGGCAAUGGGCGAAAGCCUGACCCAGCCACGCCGCGUGAGUGAUGAAGGCCCUCGGGUCGUAAAGACUCUGUGGAGAGGGACGAAAACCCUAGGUUUCAAAUAGGCUCCAGGCUUGACGGUACC